UGGGGAAUAUUGCACAAUGGGCGCAAGCCUGAUGCAGCCAUGCCGCGUGUAUGAAGAAGGCCUUCGGGUUGUAAAGUACUUUCAGCGGGGAGGAAGGGAGUAAAGUUCAUACCUUUGCUCAUUGACGUUACCCGCAGAAGAAGCACCGGCUAACUCCGUGCCAGCAGCCGCGGUAAUACGGAGGGUGCAAGCGUUAAUCGGAAUUACUGGGCGUAAAGCGCACGCAGGCGGUUGAUUGAGUCAGAUGUGAAAUCCCCGGGCUUAACCCGGGAAUUGCAUCUGAUACUGGUCAGCUAGAGUCUUGUAGAGGGGGGUAGAAUUCCAUGUGUAGCGGUGAAAUGCGUAGAGAUGUGGAGGAAUACCGGUGGCGAAGGCGGCCCCCUGGACAAAGACUGACGCUCAGGUGCGAAAGCGUGGGGAGCAAACAGG
rnacentral:rRNA from 1 species